rnacentral:misc_RNA from 1 species
GAUUAUUUUCGGUGAGGAAAGAUCCUUGUGCAAUUUUCAGACAGGAUGUAUACAUUUAGCUUACAAAGCAAAUACAUGCUGUUGAUGUAUUUAUUUCUGUACGAAUCUGUGAGCUGCAGAUUAAAAAAAAAAACCUUACAAGAAAUCCUAAUUAAUUUUUCGACUUCUGGAAAUCCACAAGGAAAGCAAAAACAUUUCGUGACUCCCGACUCUUAUAAAAAACAAUAUCUGUGAUAUAUCCGACAGAAAAUCUACUUUCACUUUGGAUGUGUGACUGAUUGUUAUGACAAUCAAAUAAAUGUACUGCCGUUCAAUGAACGAAACCUCUGGAUUAAAGUGAACUAGAGGUCAUUUCAUUUUGUCAUGCUGAAUUCAAAAUAUAUAUGAAAAUCAAGUGUUGCUAGUUCAUGUGAAUUUAAUGAACAGUCUUACUGAACUGUGCGACUGAGUGGAGUGAAAACGUUUAUAUUUUUCAUAAUUUCUAUGUUGAUUAUUUAAACAAAAAAUAUUCUGCUUCUCAGAAGAAGUGUAGAAUAAAUAACGAGAAAAUAUUUCCU